UAAAAAAUAGGAUAAUAUAUUAGAUAAAUUAGAUGUAUUUUUUAAGAAAAAAAAUAUCUUGAUCGUAAAUUAAUUUUGCUAUUUUAUAAUAAUUGAUAAAUUGACAUACUUGAUAAAUCUGCAGAAAUAGAGCUAUCAAGAAAAAAGAAUCCAGAGCAUGACAUUGGCUGGGAUCAUAGGCAAAUGGUCUCGGGCUGGCAUCAUUGGAAGUACAGCUGGUGCAAUAUAAAGUUCAAGGAAGGAGGGGUAAUCAGGUUGAAGUAGCACUUAGCUCGUGGUUAUCUCGAUGCAUCUAUGUGCCGAAAAAUGCCCACAGAAGGUUCGACAGCUGAUGAAGUACUUUGCUGAUUUUAGAGUUGCGAAGGAGAGGGUUGCCAAGAAAAAGGUGGACCGUCGAGCGGCAGAGCCACCUUCUUAUCAUUCUAGAAAGUCAGAGAAGGCAUCUCGUCCAAAUAACGAGGAGGCACGGAUCCGGGUUGUCAUGCAGGCGUGCUGGAUAAUCAGUGACAGCAGGAU
rnacentral:lncRNA from 1 species